GAUGAACGCUGACAGAAUGCUUAACACAUGCAAGUCAACUUGAACUUCGGUUUGGGUGGCGGACGGGUGAGUAACGCGUAAAGAACUUGCCUCACAGCUAGGGACAACAUUUGGAAACGAAUGCUAAUACCUGAUAUUAUGAUUUUAGGGCAUCCUAGAAUUAUGAAAGCUAUAUGCGCUGUGAGAGAGCUUUGCGUCCCAUUAGCUAGUUGGAGAGGUAACGGCUCACCAAGGCGAUGAUGGGUAGCCGGCCUGAGAGGGUGAACAGCCACAAGGGGACUGAGACACGGCCCUUACUCCUACGGGAGGCAGCAGUGGGGAAUAUUGGACAAUGGACCAAGAGUCUGAUCCAGCAAUUCUGCGUGCACGAUGAAGUUUUUCGGAAUGUAAAGUGCUUUCAGUUGGGAAGAAAAAAAUGACGGUACCAACAGAAGAAGUGACGGCUAAAUACGUG
rnacentral:rRNA from 1 species